AGGGGGGGCGGGGCCUAAUACAUGCAAGUCGAACGCUUCUUUCCUCCCGAGUGCUUGCACUCAAUUGGAAAGAGGAGUGGCGGACGGGUGAGUAACACGUGGGUAACCUACCCAUCAGAGGGGGAUAACACUUGGAAACAGGUGCUAAUACCGCAUAACAGUUUAUGCCGCAUGGCAUAAGAGUGAAAGGCGCUUUCGGGUGUCGCUGAUGGAUGGACCCGCGGUGCAUUAGCUAGUUGGUGAGGUAACGGCUCACCAAGGCCACGAUGCAUAGCCGACCUGAGAGGGUGAUCGGCCACACUGGGACUGAGACACGGCCCAGACUCCUACGGGAGGCAGCAGUAGGGAAUCUUCGGCAAUGGACGAAAGUCUGACCGAGCAACGCCGCGUGAGUGAAGAAGGUUUUCGGAUCGUAAAACUCUGUUGUUAGAGAAGAACAAGGACGUUAGUAACUGAACGUCCCCUGACGGUAUCUAACCAGAAAGCCACGGCUAACUACGUGCCAGCAGCCGCGGUAAUACGUAGGUGGCAAGCGUUGUCCGGAUUUAUUGGGCGUAAAGCGAGCGCAGGCGGUUUCUUAAGUCUGAUGUGAAAGCCCCCGGCUCAACCGGGGAGGGUCAUUGGAAACUGGGAGACUUGAGUGCAGAAGAGGAGAGUGGAAUUCCAUGUGUAGCGGUGAAAUGCGUAGAUAUAUGGAGGAACACCAGUGGCGAAGGCGGCUCUCUGGUCUGUAACUGACGCUGAGGCUCGAAAGCGUGGGGGAGCAAACAGGAUUAGAUACCCUGGUAGUCCACGCCGUAAAACGAUGAGUGCUAAGUGUUGGGAGGGUUUCCGGCCCUUCAGUGCUGCAGGCAAACGCAUUAAAGCACUCCGCCUGGGGGAGUACGACCGGCAAGGUUGAAACUCAAAGGGAAUUUGACGGGGGCCCGGCAACAAGCGUGGGAGCAUGUGGGUUUAAUUCGAAAGCAACGGCGAGAAACCUAACCAGGUCUUUGACAUCCUUUGACCACUCUAAGAGAAUAGAGGCUUUCCGUUCGGGGAACAAAAGGUGAACAGGUGAUGCAAUGCUGUCGUUCAGCUUCGGGUCAUGAAGAAUGUUUGGGGACU
rnacentral:rRNA from 1 species